UUAUGUUAAAAGAAAUAUAUUUAACAUUACUGUUCCCUAAUGUCUUUAAAAAUAGGAAAUAGUAUAUAAUUUUGCUUAUACCCAAUAGCUUCCCAACCGUUUUCAGUAACAUAUUAUGUAUGUAGAGCACACUGAGUCAAUAGAAGAGGAUGUUUAUGGCGAAUAGUGACUGGCCCAGUAACUCAGAAUGGCCCUUUCUCUGCCCGGAUGCCGUCCCCAUAAACCUCUGUUACUGAAACUGCUGUAGAAGAUGAAACUGAAGCCCAUGAAGUUCAAGGGUUUCUCUUUGGAAAACUAAACCAAUGAGUACAGGGG